rnacentral:rRNA from 1 species
CCUACGGGUGGCAGCAGUGGGGAAUAUUGGACAAUGGGCGAAAGCCUGAUCCAGCCAUGCCGCGCGUGUGAAGAAGGCCUUCGGGUUGUAAAGCACUUUCAGUGGGGAAGAAAGCCUUGGGGCUAAUACCCUCGAGGAAGGACAUCACCCACAGAAGAAGCACCGGCUAACUCCGUGCCAGCAGCCGCGGUAAUACGGAGGGUGCGAGCGUUAAUCGGAAUUACUGGGCGUAAAGCGCGCGUAGGCGGUCUGAUAAGCCGGUUGUGAAAGCCCCGGGCUCAACCUGGGAACGGCAUCCGGAACUGUCAGGCUAGAGUGCAGGAGAGGAAGGUAGAAUUCCCGGUGUAGCGGUGAAAUGCGUAGAGAUCGGGAGGAAUACCAGUGGCGAAGGCGGCCUUCUGGACUGACACUGACGCUGAGGUGCGAAAGCGUGGGUAGCAAACAGGAUUAGAUACCCUAGUAGUC